rnacentral:tmRNA from 1 species
GGGGGCGACCUGGUUUCGACACGGGGCGCGAAACAGCGCAGGGCAUGCCGAGGGCCAGAGACCUCGUAAAUCCAUCUGGAAACCUAC